rnacentral:rRNA from 1 species
GAUGAACGCUGGCGGCGUGCCUAAUACAUGCAAGUCGAGCGAACAGACGAGGAGCUUGCUCCUCUGACGUUAGCGGCUGACGGGUGAGUAACACGUGGAUAACCUACCUCUAAGACUGGGAUAACUUCGUGAAACCGGAGCUAAUACCGGAUAAUAUAUUGAACCGCAUGGUUCAAUAGUGAAAGACGGUUUUGCUGUCACUUAUAGAUGGUUCCGCGCCGCAUUAGCUAGUUGGUAAGGUAACGGCUUACCAAGGCAACGAUGCGUAGCCGACCUGAGAGGGUGAUCGGCCACACUGGAACUGAGACACGGUCCAGACUCCUACGGGAGGCAGCAGUAGGGAAUCUUCCGCAAUGGGCGAAAGCCUGACGGAGCAACGCCGCGUGAGUGAUGAAGGUCUUCGGAUCGUAAAACUCUGUUAUUAGGGAAGAACAAAUGUGUAAGUAACUAUGCACGUCUUGACGGUACCUAAUCAGAAAGCCACGGCUAACUACGUG